GGGGGGAUGAGGACGAAAGGCCGCCGGCCCCAGCCCGACGUUUUGUCGGACACUGUAACAGGUUACACUUCGAGCAGUUCGGAGGUUUCCGAUCGGUGGAAGCGCUGAGAAAGGGGUGCUCGGAAUGAAGAGCAAUCUUGCCCUCACGCGCACUGUGAGUGGUCUUCGUCCGAGCCAGGCUGUGUCCACAAGCUUCCAGCUGACAUUUGGAAGAAAGAUACGCUUCUUCUGAGCUGAUUUUGGAGAGUUCUACAAAUAUGCCUCAUGGCCCCGUUCUCGGACCUCUGACCCCACUCCCACGUGAGGGCCAGGACGGAUCAGUGCAGCCCUGUGUGUGGUUCAUGUCUUCCAAGGUUCACAUCAGCUCCUCCAAGAGCUUCAUACCUCCGUGACCACGAAUGUCACUUGGACAUAAAGGGGGUGAGUGUAUGAUGCUUGGCCGCCAUUCCCGUAUUCCCGAAACAUGCUGUUUCAUGGACUGGUGGGUUUCGACAAGAAUGAUCUGGGAGAGGACCAUGCGCCUGAUGUUCCUGCUCUCUCUGGAGAAGCCUGUGGGGGAGGAGGUGGGGUCGGGGGAGGCCCUCGAAUCUACAGUGGGAGCAAACGGUAAGGCUGUCGGGUAACCGUGCAAAUAUCAGAACAAAUCUUAAUGCAACCUGUAAGCGUAAGGACAGAGAUGAGAAGGAGCCAAGGGCAGUUCCGCCUGGCGUGGCUGCUGGGGUCACGUCCUUCUCCCCAGUAAUGACUACAUUCCAAGUCCCUUGUGGUGAAAACGAAAAAUACGACCACAUUCUGGGUGUCUGCUUGGCUUGGAUAAGCUAGACCCAGAUUCAGGAAAAGAAGUCGGUAGAACACGGAGUCAUUAGUUACAAAAGGAGCAGAGAAAGAUAAAAGUCAGGAGGAAUCUAAUGAAAACCUGUUGAAGUUCAUCAUGGAAAGUGCCAGAUCAGGGCAAAUCUCUAUACCAGUGAUUCCCAAACUUUAGCAUCGGAAUCUCCUGGGGUUGGAGCUGCCAGAGGAAAGGCAGAAGCCCAGUUAAAUCUGUAUUUCAGAGAAACAAUGAAUCAUUUUUAGUAUAAGCAUGUCCCAUGCAAAAAUCGGGUUUCUCUAAAAUUCAAAUUUAACUGUGUGCCUUUAUUUUAUUCACCGUGCCUGGCAGCCUUACCUAGACCGCCUGUUCAGACGCUGGUUUCUGGGCUACACACUCGGAGGUCGUGGCUCAGCAGAUCCGGGUGGGGCCCAGGAAUCUGCAUUUCCAACCCUCUCGCUGGGGAUGCUGACCCUGCUGGUCUGAGGAUACACUUGGAGAAUCACAGCCCCCAAAGCCCUCCCCGUGUGAUGACGGCUCUGCACGUCUCUGGCCACCAGCUACAGGAGGGACGCUCUGGGAUCAUGGGCUGUGCAUCCUCUGGUGCGUCAUCUCCCACCUCCCCGGAAAGUGUGCGGCCCUCCGUGUUCAGGCAGGAGCGCUGGGCGCUCCCGUGAACCAAGAGGCAGGCCGGUUUUCUUACCCUGGGCCUUGGCCCAUCCACGCCUGCUCUGCUUGGAGUGCUCAGUAGAGAAGCACGGGGCAGGCAGGGUGACUGGCCGAGUCGUGGCCAGCGAGACACUGGUUCUGCGUGCACCACAGGCGAUGGUUCUCUCCCGCUGCCUUCCGCGGGGUUUACCAAAACAUGCCAGCCGUUCUCAUGUUGCAGGAAACACACUGUGCUUUUUACUGAGAGGCAUUAGUAGCAUUAGUACCUCAUCCACAGAGUGAUUUCGUUAUUGCUAAACAUUUUAUAAUUUUUUUUAAGUUUACCUAUUUAUUUUGAGAGAGAGAAAGAGAGCAUAUGCCGGGGAGGGGCAGAAAGAGAGGAGAGAGUGGGAGACAGAGAAUCCCAAACAGGCUUCACGUUCAGCAGUGAGCCCAACUAGGGGCUCGAACUCAUGACCGCAAGAUCGUGACCUGAGCUGAUAUUGAGUGGGACGCUUACCCGACUGAGCCACCCAGGUGCCCCUUACUGCUGAACAUUUUAAACUGCAGCAUGAAAUUAUGAAAUUAAAAUUUCAUUUUAAAUGUGUCAACAUCUUGCUUGUUGGAAGUAGAAGCUGACCACCAGAUCCCCAUUGCCCUCAGUAACCACGGCACGCCACGCGGUGGUUAGGAACUGGGUGGAAUCUGUGCCCUCUGGAGCGGGACUCACCUGGCAGAGUUGCUGAGCCAUGGACUCACUUCUGACAAGGCUUCUCUAGGGUCUCCCGUCCAGAAGCCAACUGCUGCCAUAACACUCUGUGCUCAGGGCUCCCAAAAUUCAUAUGAUAGAGUUCCGAUCCCCAGUGCCCCAGAAUGAGAGUGUGUAUGCACAGACGGCCUUUAUAUUUUAGAGUAAAAUGAGGUCAUUAAGGUAGCCAUCAUCCAACGUGACUUGUGUCCUUAUAAACAGAAGAGAUCAGGACACAGACACACAGAGAGGGACAAGCACGUGCAGACAUGGGGAGAGGAUGGUGUCUACAUGCCAGGAGAGAGGCCUCGGAAAGAAUCAAGCCUGCUGACACGCUGAUCUCAGCCUUCCAGGCUCCAGGAUGGAGAGAAAGAAAUGUCUGCUGUUUAGGCCGCCUGGCCAUGGUGUUUGCGCCACUGCCCAAGCUGACUGAGACACCAUGUGAGCACAGAUUUUCCUUUACAAGGAAGAAGAAUGGACAGAGAACACACCCCAGAUGUGACGAUUAAACUGUAGGAUUCCAUCUGAAAUUCACCUUGAACUGACCUGUGAUUGAGGAUCUCACAGUCCCCUCCCAGCAGAUUGUACUGUCUUAUCCUUCAAUCCCUCGGCGCCCCCGACCAGAGGCCUAAAACGUGCACACAUCUGAGGGGUGGGCCCGGGGCACUUCGUGUACGCAGACUGACUUACCCCUUGCUCCUUCCGGCUCUAACUGUGCCAAGAAUCAUCAUUAAAGAUGAUCUACUUACUA